rnacentral:misc_RNA from 1 species
AUUAGCUAUUAUUGUGAUGAUAUUCAUAGCUUCUUAGUUUCAUUCAGAUUCACUGCCCAUUGCUCUAUGUUGAACAUUAAAUGCUACUUUAGAGCUUUUGUGGUUACUUUGCAUGCUAUGACUCUAUUUGAAAUAGAUGUCACACAGCGUUCAAGAUUUCUGGAUUAUUACCUAGAUUCAUAUCAUAUGUUGCCAUGUUUAGUUACUAGUAUCUGGUUUUUCAUGUGGUGUUAUAAAGACAUUGUAAUGUCUCCAUUGUUAAACUGUAGGUAAAAGAAUGCAUGUACAAGUCCUUACUCAACCUUCAGAUGUUGUCAUUUCAUUAGCUUUGUUACGCUUUUUCAAUAUCUUUGUGAUAGUUUUUUUUUAUUAUAAAUUGUGCAAUUCAAUUAAGAUUUGUAAAUUGUGGAAUUUAAGAAAGCGACUUUUUCGUUCUAAUACAAUUUUAAAGUCUCAAUUUUACCAUUACAUUUGUAAAAUAUUUUGGAUUAUGAUCUCGUUUGCAUGUCUAGAAAUAUUUUGGUUGAAAAUGAAGAAAAAAAUUAAAAGAUUGAAAAAC